CCCAGAGCAUGCGCUCUGCGGGCCUCCGGCCCCGACCCCGGGCCAGAAAGGAAAACAAAGAGCCCGGCGGCCCCUGGCGGCCGCCCCGGGAAGUGCAAGUGGCGCGCUCGGGCUGGAGCGCUCUGGACCCGGCUCGCUCCGCCCACGCCCCGGGAUUGUGCGUGUGUAUUUCCGAGGCUCCAAGUCCCGACCCGGGGACUGACGACCCGAGACAACUUGAAGCCAGGGUCGGCUUGGGAAGAUCUGGUGGGGCAGGGGCCGCACGGAGGAGAAAGGUCUUCCCUGCUCUCCAAAGGGUCCCCGUCAGAGAAAGAUGAGAAAUCAGACUGUCAACCACCACGGAGGGGCAUCUGGCUCAGCGUGGGGCUUAAAGGAAGGCUUUUCAAGUUUUCAUUAGAUGUUUCCUGCAUGGUUUGUCUCCUCAGUCAUGGUCCACAGGACUCUGAGAAGCUGUAGGAAUAUGCAGGCGCAGACUCAAGCCCGGCUUCAUCUCCAACGUUGUGGAAAGGGACUGUACGUCACGGGGCAGAGCCCUGAGCUCCCAUACGCCACCUGGACAGAGCCCGGGGAGAGUGACCUCCCGGGAGUAUCCACGUUGGAAUGCCUGAUUAAACAGCCUCACUCUCAAAACAUUUUCAAGAGAUUUCAUUUUCCGCAUUCCAUUCUGCCCAAGUGAAUCUGAGGAAAGCUUCUUUAAAACCCAGUUAUUACUACUGACUGUUUCAUGGUUUCUGUACUUACUGUCCUAGGAAUAUGCGGGUACAUAUGCUCACUUUCAUUUCUGUUAUCUAACAGGGCUUGUACUGGAGACUAAAUCCUUGGCUCCCAUGCACAGACUUUGACGGAGUAUGCAUGCUUUAUUUAUAUGGUUUGUAUACACGAAGUUUUGCUAAUCUUGGUUUUGGUUAAUUCAUCCAAAAUUAGCAGAAAUUUCUACCGUAUCACAUGACAGACAAAGAUGCGAAAAUAUUAACCUUUACUCAAUAAAAAGCAAUCUUCCCAGACAUGAGCAUACAUCUACAAAACUGUCAAUAUGCCAACAAGAAUACAGUGAAGUUUUAAUCUGGAUAUAUUAAAUGCAAGGAGCACAUUCAUGAAAAGAACUGGGCUGGAAUGAUUAAAUGUCAACAGGAAAACACCGACAAGCCAAAACCAAUUCUUACCCCCAAUUUUUGGAUUUACUUACCUCAGAUCAAAUUAUUUGGAAUCCUUAGCCAUUGCUGCAAAAACAAAGUAAGGUAAGAGCUUAAUCCAGUUGUACAGCAGGUAAUAAAAGCAGAUUUCUUUCCAAUCAACCUAUAUCCAGAUAGGGGGUGCUCUAGAGAGCUGUUUCCUGCAUGGUUUGUCUCCUCAGUCAUGGUCCACAGGACUCUGAGAAGCUGUAGGAAUAUGCAGGCGCAGACUCAAGGCCCGGCUUCAUCUCCAACGUUGUGGAAGGGGACUGUACGUCACCGGGCAGAGCCCUGAGCUCCCGCACGCCACCUGGACAGAGCCCGGGGAGAGUGACCUCCCGGGAGUAUCCACGUUGGUCACCGUAAUUUCAUUUGCUAACUAAAGAGCUAGAAAUAAAUUUCAACCAGUAGAGGGUGACUUCCCCAGGAUAUCCAUUCUGGGGUAGAUACUAAAUUCCCAAGUGUCAACGAAGUUCGAGUUCAAUACCGACCAGGAGUCUCAGGUCAGUAGUCUAAAUGCACUUUCAGCCAGGUACCCAAAACAGAGCUAAAAAUCCCAGUAGGCGAUUAGCACUACUGUUUAAGAAAUGGCACAUCCAGCGGGUCCCUGGGUGGCUCAGCGCCGCCUUCGGCCCAGGGCGUGAUCCUGGAGACCCGGGAUCGAGUCCCGCAUCGGGCUCCCUGCAUGGAGCCGGUUUCUCCCUCUGCCUCUCUCUUUCAUGAAUAAAAUGUUUAAAAAGAAAAGAAAUGGCACAUCCAGAGCGCUGACACAGCAAUUACGGGUCCUAUCUACAACUCGGCCAUCAGGAGUGCGCCCUGAGAUCACCCUACGUCAUAAAACAAGCGGCAGAAUUAAGAACGCUCGCUUUCGAAAUCGAUUCUUAAUCUCCGAUGGGCCGUCGGGAAUAGAAUGAUCGGCAUGCAAUCCCACCGCUUCCUAGGAGACCAGAUCAAACAACAGGGGCGGGGUGGGCCGAGCAUCUGGCAUCCUGGUGCGUGAAGCGGCAGCCCCGUAGGUCUCAGCGCGAGCGCCUGGACUAUGCGCAAGGCCCGCGGCUCGCGAGGCCUCCGCGGCCCACAUCCUGCCCAGCCCCGCUGCGCGAGCAAGCGUAGUCAGCAUGGACGCCGCAGAAGGGGCUCCAGAGAGCACGAUGCCCACAGGAACAGCUUGCUGGCAGGCCCCGGGGUACUAAAGCUAGAAGUAACCAACCGAAAGGGUAAAACUCUUACCUACUAAAGACCAAACGGCGCCGCAGUCUUUCUCCAAAAGGCCGUACAACCCCCAAGGCAUCCUUAUUUAUACCUUCUGAAGCGGGCGGAAGUCAAGGUAUCUCUAUUGCGCCUGCGCAGCGCCCUGCGCAGUUAGGGAAUCGGAAAUUCGCAAAGGAUGCUGGGAGUUUAAGCCCCACCCCUACCCGACUCAGAGGCUUCUCGCGACAAUAGAGCCUCGCGCGUGGGAACCUGCUGGAGAAUGUGAAUUACGGAAACGGAGUUUGGGAGUAUGUAGCCUGGUGCUGAGCAGCAAGGGUGCUCCUCAGCAAUCCGCUCGCCCAGUCUGGACGAUAUAGACUGAGAUAAACCCGCUAGCCUCCAUCCCCCAACGCUUUGGAGUAAUUCUAUGCAAAAUGAAAAAAAGCCGCCUAGGGACGCCUGGGUGGCUCAGCGGUAGAGCGCCUGCCUUCGGCCCAGGCCGUGGUCCUGGGAUCGUGGGAUCGAGUCCCGCAUCGGGCUUCCCGCAUGGAGCCUGCUUCUCUCUGUGUCUCUCAUGAAUAAAUAAACGAAAUCAUUUUUAAAAAAAGAGAGAGAGGAAAAAGCCAUCUAGAGAAAUGCAGGAUCUCAACAGUGAUUGAAUCUGCCCUGUCACAUGUGAAAUGAACUUUUGAUAAAUGAUAGGAAAAUAGGACAGAAAGGCUUUCACAUAAAUUGGCUAAAACUAAAAGCCUCCUGUACACGAUAAUGGAUGUAUUCGAUACUUCCGAACUGUACGCCUAAAAAGGUUAAAAAGAUGUAUGAAAGUCUUAAGAGAUGAAAAAAGCAGGGGGACUCCUACAUCUGGAACUUGCUUUGGGUCCCAGCCCUCAAAGUCCACUAGGAACAGGAAGGUCUUCUCCAAAUGCACAGCUACUACCUUCCCCGAAGACAGGGAAAAGUUGAGCAGCACCUACAUAUGCUGUGAAAUCCUCCCAUAUGGCCAAGGCAGUCUCAGGAUAAAUCAUCAGAGCAGAAUUUUCUGGCGGUUCCCAGUACAUUAAGCAAUACCACAACGAUAUCUUGUAAAAGAAGCUUGGGGGAACUCUGUUCUUCAGGGGAAAAGGAUGUAAAAAGAUUAUACCACCAAGUACAACGAUUAUGGCAAAGCAGCUGAGCAGUAUGUGGCAACAACUCUAUAACGAUUCUCCAACUUGCAAAUCUCUGGUAAAUCUCCAACUUGCCAAAAAGUGUUAACCUUCAGUCACAAUUUGUUAGAAUUUUAAAAAGGCAAUUGUUUGAAUCUAUUGGAGGACAAAUGAGGGAGAAAACAAGCUAACCAGUUCUAGUUUAUGCAGUUAGAACAUUGAACCAUCUUUCACAGCCCCCUUCUUUUUCUCUAGACUGCUCUCUGUCCCUCUGUACUGAAUUUAGGUGCCAGGCACCAUGCUUUCAUUUGUCUAAUUUCAUCCUUAACAAGCCUAUGAGGUAGGUAUUAUUCCUGUGCAUGGAUCAGACAGCUCGCUCAAGUGCAGAAAGGUUAAGUAACACACUACCGCAAACUAGGAAUUAAGAGGUAGAUCUGGGAUUUGAACCCAGAGCUAUCUUACUCCAAGGCCAAUGCUCUUAAGCACCAUGUUAUACAGCCUCCCUUGUAUCACAUACAAAAAAUAGAGUGGUUUUAAUUUUCAAGUACAAAAUUUUGUGACUGCUAUGGAAACAAUGUUAUUGAUUAGCAGGGUAAAUAAAGUCCAAA